UAAUUUUAGUAUACUAAUGAAUUCUAUAAACCAUUGAAUUCUGUAAGUAAUGUGUGUAAUAUAAACCAGAAAUAUAUAUUAUAAAUGGGCUUUUUAAAUCAUUUUAAACUUCUGUGAGAAAUAGAUGAUGUUCAAAUUCUCUGAAAACUUCUUUUGAGAAUUUUCUUUGUUUCUCUUUUUCUGUGGCAUGUAUAGGUGACAUAUGCUGAUUUCAAUGGGGAAAAGGCCAAGAAAUCAAACAUAAAAAAUGAGUCAGUUGACAGACUUAAAUACUCUUCUCAUGACUUACCAACUCAACAAGAGUACCAUCAAAAUCACUGUCAAGAAAAAGUAUGUACA